rnacentral:lncRNA from 1 species
UUGCACAAGUUCUCUGUUUUGAAAAAAAGAAUAACUGAUGGGAUAAAUUUAUGUAAUUUGACAAUUAAUCUACCUCACUUGCUUGUGGAUAUGUAUUCAUUUCCUACCACUGUAGUGGAAGAGAGACUAUCCCUGUCUUUACACCCGGUAGCAUUUCCAACAGUAAGCUGUGAGAUUCUGCUUGAAAUCACCUCUCAAACAAAUAAAAAACAGACCUGGGAAAUGUGCUACACUCAUUCUGCUGAAGAAAUUGACAUCAUAGCUGGGGAAACAGGGAUUCAAAAGAUCCAGGCUGUUCCCUACAUAUUUUUCCUCCUCAGACAUCAGUUCAUCAGUCAAUCAAGUCAGGUGAGAGUGGAGGCCAUGUAUUCCUUAUUCUUGGGCACUGUCCUCCAAGGAGGAAGAGGCCAGGAGGUCCUGUUAGAGGAUGCACUCUGAGAGGCCGGGCUCCCUAAGGUGUGAGGGUUCUAACCAGCAGGUGUAGACUUUUCAGGAGUGAGGAAUGAGGCAGGCAUUCCAAACCUGGAGCUUCAUCACCUUUUGUUUCAUCUCAAGACAAUUCUGAGGGGCUGUUUUGGAACGUGUCUGGAAGGUGAACAUUGAAGAAGAGUGGGCUUUGAUGUGACUCAGAUAAGAUCUUUCAUGGGGAGGCAGGAAUUUAAUGCCCAGAAUCUGGGCUGGUGUCUUUGAGGUCAGUGGGUUGCCUUUUUGUAUCCAAGUCCAUUGUUACUAGGUUGGAGGCUGGAGAUUCUAAAUGGCUUCCAGACCGCCUCUCUGAUUCUCUUUUGGAGAUGGGGUCUGAAAAAGACAAUGUCAGUAUUUUUGGGAAAUUCUGGAAAGUCUGUUUGGAAACCUGUCAAGACCUCUUGCCUAGUGCCUAAAUUCUCAAUGUGCAGCUCUAGCCAUGUAGAUUUUGGAGGUAAGAGCUGGGUUUGCAUUUAUAUCAGCAAAACCUAUGGCAGAGUGAAGAAGUAAUCAGGACAAAGUGCUUGGUCGCAGCCAGAGAACAUCUUAAAAGCAAACUUCUAGCCUGCUGACUCUUGGCAAUGAGUGUUGGGUCCUGGCCAAAGUGCCUUGAAUGCAGCAUGAAGCCAAUCCAUAAAUCCAACUUCUAAUGGAGAAAUGUUAAUAUUUUUUCAGUUUGAAUCAAUCAGGGUGAAAUUACCAUGCUAUUGGUUUGUUUACUUUUUAUUAUUUCAUAUAAAAUCUAAGACAAAAUACAUUAAACGCUUAUUGACAUAUGUAUUUAUUCUUCACCUGGCUCAUAACAUUUGCCUAAUUUUAAACUUUCUUCUAUUAUGUAGGUUUCAACUUAUUUUAUUGUAAGAUAUUUUUAAAUCUAAUACAGGCAUUGUCACCUUUACAUGUAAUUUCAUUUUAUUUCAUAUAUUUCCUAUUCGCUUUCUAUAUUUAAAUUAUGGACUGUUUCAUCAUAUAAAAAGCUUCAUUUCUGUUUUAAAAAUA